UGUUGCAAGGGCUAACAGGGAGUUUGCUUUGGAAAACUUCUUGUUUCUGAGGGGAGCCCAGGUAAUCUGAAUUUAACCCAAUAGUGCUGAGGAAUGAGGGUUUAGAUUCUUCUCUUGGAAUGUAGUUAUUAGUAGAUGGCAACAUCAGAGGAUCUAUAAAUGUCUCAGUUUCAUUGGCAGCUAUUUCUGGCUUUAGCCAUCUGAUGUAAGUGCUCAAG
rnacentral:misc_RNA from 1 species